UCUCCUUCAUGUGUGUCUCACUUUGUAUUGAAUGAUGUUAAGCAGAGCUGGAGCUGGCGCCUCGGCCUCAUUACCUUCAAUUACAGUAAUUGUUGCCUCUCUCCAGUGUUUUGCAUUUCUCCCUGGGGGAAAUCUCUCUGCUGCUUCUUUUCCAGUCUUGCUCCAGCUUUCUCCUAUCGAUUGGAUCGCUCUGGCCCCGAUUCUAGGAGCGAUGCCUCCAGGAGGAUAAAUGCAAAUCGCCCUAUUGAUUGGGAGGAGUAGGAGUGCAGCUCGUUUGGGGGAGGGAGAAUUCGUUUUAAAUGAAGAAAAAAAGUAAAGUGAUGAGCAUGACAGGAAAUGCUUCACUUUCUGGGCCUCUUAAGUAGUGUCUCUUUAUCAUGUCCUGUGUCUGAGGGGGAUGUAGAUUGGUGCCAUCUGGAUAAUAUAUUACAUGCAUGGAGAGGUGGAUCCCGCGACACAGACACUAGUCUGGUUUCCUACUUAUUUUAGGUGAACAUGUAUCACUGAUCAUUUCUGGAACGCAGCUCCCCUCCUCCAGUUUGAAGGUGACUGAGUUUCACUGGGGACACGCUAAUUGCUGCUGAAAAUGAGCAGGGAGUAAUGUGCAGGCCUCUAUCCACCUCCUUGAACUGCCCAGUUACAGGGGUAAGGCUCCUUGGGAGUUAUUAACCUUGAGGGAACCUGCUCAGCAGCCUGUCUGUCACAGGGGAGCGGCUGGAGGAGCCAGCCUGUGGGCUCUGCACAGCCUUGGAUCCUGAAAUGGCUACUUGCUUCAGUAAAUCCAUGGCCAGACUCACAAGUGGAAAGCCCAAAGAAUUGCACAGUCACGAAAUUGUCAGAAGGGUUACAUCCAAUGAUUUGGAAGAAAUAGUGGUGAGUUGCCAGCACGCCAUGAAAAUUUACAGGAAGGAAAGGCCUGAACCCCUCAUGGCGGCCAUCAUCUCAUGCCCAUGCUGGGACUCUCACGCACAUGGAGAUUCUGGAGAAGGUGAUGGAUGUGAUUUGGCACUUCACUGGAGGGACUCUGACAUUUGGAAGCAGACUCUUGCACGGCUGCACUACUCACAUGCUCCUGAGCCUCUUCUGGAAUAUGACUGUAGAGAAGAGAAGGUGUUGUCCUGAGUUUUUGCUGGCCUGUCAGGAGAAAUGCUGUUCUGGAAUAGUUCAGGACACUAGGUGCUCACCUGAAUUGGUCUUUUAGAAGGAUUCGUCAGUCCUUCCAGAAACUUGGCACUGCAACUGUUGGCUUCUGAAACGAAGUAAAAGAAUCAAACCAUCAUUUAUGUGGCCUGCAAAGACUCGUUGGAUGGAUCUCUUGUUUUAGUUGGCAAUUUCUUCUUAAAGACAAGAUUUCACAUCUGCGACAGAGCUUUGAGCUGAUGCAGAGAAUGUGCUCCUGUGAGAUGCUGCCCAAAGCAGUCCCUUUCCGUGAGAUGCCCAGAGGCUGAUUUUGCAACCAGGUCCUUCUGUUCAUGUUGGCUUCAAAGGCCUUCACGUAUCUGGUGGGAGGGAGCAGCCCUGUGCUCUGCAGGCUCUGACUACAGGCUCUGUAGUCCAUUCAAGUGGAGGCUUUAGGCUGCUCUCCCAUGGCUGCUGGAGACAUGUAAUGCGGCCUCAGGCUCCUGACGCUUUCCUUGAUGGUUCGUUAUAGUCAUUAUCCCACAUUCCUUCUGGUUGCAGAACAUGUUGUUAUUAUUGCUUUGUACUGGGUCUGUCUCCUGUCCCUUUUUUACAGGCCAAUCCGGCCCUAUUAGCUCUUGUCUCUAAAACAAAAGCAAAUUAGCACUGCAGAAGCUGAAUUAUCUUGUUUACGUUAUAGUAUGUCAGGGGACCCCACACAAUCCUUGCAUGUCUCUCUGAGCAGUGUGCCAGAGAGUGAAGAGACACAGUAAGUCGGUCAAACCCUCCUGGCACUCUGACCCAAUCCACAGGUUUCCAAAAGAGUCUUUAGUUGCUUUGGGGAAGCUAAGGCUGGUCAGUGAUCCCUGCUAUCCCUCCCUCAGUUUUGGUAUUUUAUGCAUGCUUGUAGCAUACAGAACUAGAAAUUUUUUUACAGUAAAUUGUACCUCUCAACUCAAACUUGACAGCUGUCAAUGAAAUUUGCUGUUCAAAACUGAUCUCAAGCACAUUGCCCUCUGGUUAGUCUAUCUGUGCUCCCUUGGCCAGGAUGUUUAUAAUACUCAGGGAGUCUCUCAUGUUACUUAGUGCAGUAAUGUGGCUCCAUGAAUAAAAGCCAUUUCCAGUCUGUCGGUACUGCA
ensembl:lncRNA